rnacentral:rRNA from 1 species
CCUACGGGAGGCUGCAGUGGGGAAUAUUGGACAAUGGGGGGAACCCUGAUCCAGCCAUGCCGCGUGUGUGAAGAAGGCCCUCGGGUUGUAAAGCACUUUCAGUGAGGAAGAACGCCUGGUGGUUAAUACCCAUCAGGAAAGACAUCACUCACAGAAGAAGCACCCGCUAACUCCGUGCCAGCAGCCGCGGUAAUACGGAGGGUGCGAGCGUUAAUCGGAAUUACUGGGCGUAAAGCGCGCGUAGGUGGCUUGAUAAGCCGGUUGUGAAAGCCCCGGGCUCAACCUGGGAACGGCAUCCGGAACUGUCAAGCUAGAGUGCAGGAGAGGAAGGUAGAAUUCCCGGUGUAGCGGUGAAAUGCGUAGAGAUCGGGAGGAAUACCAGUGGCGAAGGCGGCCUUCUGGACUGACACUGACACUGAGGUGCGAAAGCGUGGGUAGCAAACAGGAUUAGAUACCCUUGUAGUC